rnacentral:lncRNA from 10 species
GUCCCGGGGAAGCUGUCUUGCACAAAGGAGCCAUAAACCUCUAAGGGCACCUGCCGGCUGAUGUCUCCUGGCUCUCGCCUCCUCCCUCUUUUCUCGACCUGCUCCUGACCCUGUGAUGUUGUUGGGGCAGUUGAACUGGGUUAUUUGCGUUGCUCACUGCCAUGUCAUCCUUUGUUUUGUAGAUGCCGUGGAAAGCAGAUACUCUAGAACGGAAGGCUCCCUUGAUGGAACUUAGACAGCAAGGCCAGAUGCACAUCCCUGGAAGGACAUCCAUGUUCCGAGAAGAACAGAUAAUCCCUGUAUUUCAAGACCUCUGUGCACUUAUUUAUGAACCUGCCCUGCUCCCACAGAACACAGCAAUUCCUCAGGCUAAGCUGCCGGUUCUUAAAUCCAUCCUGCUAAGUUAAUGUUGGGUAGAAAGAGAUACAGAGGGGCUGUUGAAUUUCCCACAUACCCUCCUUCCACCAAGUUGGAACAUCCUUGGAAAUUGGAAGAGCACAAGAGGAGAUCCAGGGCAAGGCCAUUGGGAUAUUCUGAAACUUGAAUAUUUUGUUUUGUGCAGAGAUAAAGACCUUUUCCAUGCACCCUCAUACACAGAAACCAAUUUUCUUUUUUAUACUCAAUCAUUUCUAGCGCAUGGCCUGGUUAGAGGCUGGUUUUUUCUCUUUUCCUUUGGUCCUUCAAAGGCUUGUAGUUUUGGCUAGUCCUUGUUCUUUGGAAAUACACAGUGCUGACCAGACAGCCUCCCCCUGUCCCCUCUAUGACCUCGCCCUCCACAAAUGGGAAAACCAGACUACUUGGGAGCACCGCCUGUGAAAUACCAACCUGAAGACACCGUUCAUUCAGGCAACGCACAAAACAGAAAAUGAAGGUGGAACAAGCACAGAUGUUCUUCAACUGUUUUUGUCUACACUCUUUCUCUUUUCCUCUACCAUGCUGAAGGCUGAAAGACAGGAAGAUGGUGCCAUCAGCAAAUAUUAUUCUUAAUUGAAAACUUGAAAUGUGCACAGAACCGUCUCCCACGACCAAGCAUGAUCAAGUCCCAAAUGCCAAUAAUGGCCAGGUUGAGAAACUCUGCACAGAAGCAUCCAGUUAUUUGUCUGUUUGCUCAACAAGCUUGUGCUCAUCAUGCUCUGUGUUCCUGACGCUGUGCUGGGUGUUGGCGGUGGGAAGAUUACAAGAGUCACAUGGCAGCUGUCCUCCUGGAAGGUACAACCCAGUAGAGAUGCAGACUAACAGAGAGCCAAUUACAAAGCAGUGUGACAAGCGUCAUGGUGGAAAAUUAAAAGCUCAAACAAGGGCACAUGGGAGGGGCUUCCAACACAGACUUUGGGGGAUCCAGGAAGAUCUCAACCUGGGGUCCACAGAGUGGAAAUGUUAGAGUAGGGAGCUAGGCAAACAUGAGCAGGACAGGUGAGGGCCCCCACAGGAAUGUCAGGCUACCAUCAGGUGAUGGUCAGGUGGUUGUUAAACUGUCUCUGUAAAAUAAUAAUUGGUUGCAGCCAGCUCCAAGCAAGGACAGUCUCUCAAUAGAUACAAAACACCCUGAUCUGGUGAUCAGCCGCUUCCCGAUAAGAUCUCAGGAGCUGGGCAAGCAGCCUGGAGCAUGCGCACCAAGAGGCAAAAUGGCGGAAUUUAACCAGUAUAUGACCUACCUUCCUCUGGGAACGCACGACUGGUAAGGGGAAAAAUGCCUCAAGUGAGCAUGCGCGCAACUUCAGUAAUCACACUGUGCAUGCGACCCCUUCCAAGUGCUGGCAGGUCACCACAUACGCGGACAGCCUGCUGCAAGGGAAGAAUCAGGGGAGAUGAGACGUAAAUCCCAGAACUAUGCCAAAUACAUAAAACCCCAAGUUAAGGGUCAGGCAGGGCACUUAGAUCUCUCAAGUUGCCUGCCUGACCCAAGUGUAGUGUACUUCCUUUUGUUCCUGCUCUAAAACUUUUUAAUAAACUCUCACUCCUGCUCUAAAACUUGCCUUGGUCUCUCCCUGUGCCUUAAAACCACUUAAAACCACCUCUGCCCCUCAGCUGAGUUCUGUCUUUGAGAAGGCAAGCAUCAAGUUUGCUGCAGACCCAUUGGAUUCACCACUGGUAACAGAAGUUGGGGUAAGGCGUGGGGCCUGAGAAUUCUCUAAGAGUAGGUGCAGCCGGGCGCGGUGGCUCACGCCUGUAACCCCAGCACUUUGAGAGGCUGAGGUGGGUGGAUCAGCUGAGGUCAGGAGUUCGAGACCAGCCUCAAUAUGGGGAAACCCCAUCUCUACUAAAAAUACAAAAUCAGCCGGGCGUAGUGGUGCA